rnacentral:misc_RNA from 1 species
CGUGAUCUGGCAUGGCAUAUUUUUUUAUUAUUUUUAUUAUUUUCUAUAUUGCUAGAAUCUAGAUGUAGAUAUUUUUCUGUUAUUUACUUUAUUUGCUAUGGAAGUUAAAGUUCAAAUUAAGAGAGACUUUGAUGAAUAUGAUCAAAAUUGUACCCAGAUUGGGUUAUCCACGUCAAUAGAUAUGGACAACUUGAAAAAUGAACCAGAGGAAGAACUUUUAGGUUGUCCUGAGGACGAGAAAAAACUGACACUUAUAAAAACAACAGAACAAUCAUCUCCUAAGGAACGAUAUGUGAUUCAAAACCAUGACGAUAGUACACUGAAUAAUAAUAUAAAAAUUCAAACUGGACGAGGACGUUACGGAUGUAAAAUUUGUUUUAAGCAAUUUAUCACACCAAGUUCUUUGAAAAUACAUUUGAGAGUGCACACUGGAGAAAAACCUUAUGAGUGUGAAAUUUGUUCGAAGCAGUUUUCUCAGAAAAGUAGUCUGAAAAGUCAUUUGAGAAUACAUACUGGAGAAAAAGCUUACGAGUGUGAAGUUUGUUGUAAUAAUGUCAAGAGGAAGCUUAAUGUUAAACCUUGUCCUCAAAGGGAAAACAGUUAACGCAGAUCGUGUUCGUAGCAGUUCUAAAUACAUUCCAGUUAACAAAAAGUUUACUCAAGACGAAGAAAAUCAAUCCUACUAUGUAGGGCUAAAAAAAUAAUGGGUGCGCCUGUAUUCUUCAGGUAAGAGUGGACUCUAAACAAAGUACAGACUGGCAUAAAUAAGAAAUAAUUAAAAGACUGAGAUAAUUAAGACAUUUUAUUAUAGCACUGAGUUUGUUAUUUAGAUUAAGUCAACGAUUUUAUUGCUUCAAAAAUCAAUAUAUAAUAAUUUCGUCGUUUAAUGUUAAUUUUGUAAAAUAUGUCAAUAAAUUAAAUAAAUAACUUAUUUUUAUUUUUUUAUAUAACCCUUUUAGUAUUCAAAAUUAUGUUAGACAGAUAUACAUGAAUCAAUAAUUAAUAUGACAAAAUCGUAUAUUUUAAAUAUCUAAUAUGAAAACCACGUAUAUAUAGAACUUAAGAAUGAAUACCUCGUAGGUCAGGUAAAAAAUUAAAUAAUAAUAAUGUAUGUGCAAAAUUUAUGUGUAACUAUCGAAAUGUGUCCAAAUUAAAAAUACGUAAAGAUA